rnacentral:rRNA from 1 species
CUGGGAUUGCCUUAGUAACGGCGAGUGAAGCGGCAAUAGCUCAAAUUUGAAAGCUGGCCCUUUCAGGGUCCGCAUUGUAAUUUGUAGAGGAUGAUUCGGCGAGGGCUCCCGCCUAAGUCCCCUGGAACGGGGCGUCAUAGAGGGUGAGAAUCCCGUAUGCGGUGGGUUGCCUUAGCCAUGUGAAUCUCCUUCGACGAGUCGAGUUGUUUGGGAAUGCAGCUCUAAAUGGGAGGUAAAUUUCUUCUAAAGCUAAAUACCGGCCAGAGACCGAUAGCGCACAAGUAGAGUGAUCGAAAGAUGAAAAGCACUUUGGAAAGAGAGUUAAAAAGUACGUGAAAUUGUUGAAAGGGAAGGGCUUGCAACUAGACUUGUCCGCAGUUGCUCAACUGGUCUCCUGACCGGUGUACUCUUCUGCGGCCAGGCCAGCAUCAGUUCAGGCGGUCGGAUAAAGACCUUGGGAAUGUAGCUCCCCUCGGGGAGUGUUAUAGCCCAGGGUGGAAUGCGGCCAGUUUGGACUGAGGAUCUCGCUUCGGCAAGGAUGCUGGCAUAAUGGUUGUAAGCCGCCCGUCUUGAAACACGGACCAAGGAGUCUAACAUCUAUGCGAGUGUUUGGGUGUCAAACCCAUACGCGUAAUGAAAGUGAACGGAGGUGGGAACCCGCAAGGGUGCACCAUCGGCCGAUCCUGAUGUCUUCGGAUGGAUUUGAGCAAGAGCAUAGCUGUUGGGACCCGAAAGAUGGUGAACUAUGCCUGAAUAGGGUGAAGCCAGAGGAAACUCUGGUGGAGGCUCGCAGCGGUUCUGACGUGCAAAUCGAUCGUCAAAUUUGGGUAUAGGGGCGAAAGACUAAUCGAACCAUUAACACUGUAGUUGUUACGGACUACUAGGUGGUUAAGAGGCGGCUAAAAGUGCCCGCCUAGUCCCUCCAUCGGGGCAACACUGUCAAAUUGUUCGGGGACGUCCUUAGAGCUUAGACUACCGCGGCCGGGCCGAAAGGUUCGGUGCAGCACCAGGGUAACGACCUCGGGUAUGGUAACAACGUCUAAGAUUGGGCUAUCCGCAGCCAAGCUCCUAAACCUCUUGUGAGGCACGGAGAAGGUUCACAGACUAGAUGGCAGUGGGUUCGGCUUCACGGCCGGGCCUAAGAUAUAGUCGAUCCCCCACGGAAACGUGGGCGGCAGGGCAAAGCUCGCAGGCAAGA